rnacentral:rRNA from 1 species
CCUACGGGAGGCAGCAGUGAGGAAUAUUGGUCAAUGGGCGUAAGCCUGAACCAGCCAAGUCGCGUGAGGGAUGAAGGUUCUAUGGAUCGUAAACCUCUUUUAUAAGGGAAUAAAGUGUGGGACGUGUCCUAUUUUGUAUGUACCUUAUGAAUAAGGAUCGGCUAACUCCGUGCCAGCAGCCGCGGUAAUACGGAGGAUCCGAGCGUUAUCCGGAUUUAUUGGGUUUAAAGGGUGCGUAGGCGGCCUUUUAAGUCAGCGGUGAAAGUCUGUGGAUCAACCAUAGAAUUGCCGUUGAAACUGGGGGGCUUGAGUAUGUUUGAGGCAGGAGGAAUGCGUGGGGUCGCGGGUAAAUGCUUAGAUAUCACGCAGAACCCCGAUUGCGAAGGCAGCCUGCCAAGCCAUGACUGACGCUGAUGCACGAAAGCGUGGGGAUCAAACAGGAUUAGAUACCCGUGUAGUC